rfam:Aedes albopictus isolate Foshan contig118898, whole genome shotgun sequence.
UAGCCAAGUGGUUAAGGCUAUGGAUCGCCAAUCCGGAGACGGUGGGUUCGAUUCCCGU